UACGUAGGGUGCAAGCGUUGUCCGGAAUUAUUGGGCGUAAAGAGCUCGUAGGCGGUUUGUCGCGUCUGGUGUGAAAAUCCAGGGCUUAACCCUGGACCUGCAUCGGGUACGGGCAGACUAGAGUGCGGUAGGGGAGAUCGGAAUUCCUGGUGUAGCGGUGAAAGCGCAGGAUAAGUCGACGGAGGAACACCGGCGGCGAAGGCGG
rnacentral:rRNA from 1 species